rnacentral:rRNA from 1 species
AGAGUUUGAUCCUGGCUCAGGAUGAACGCUGGCGGCGUGCUUAACACAUGCAAGUCGAACGGGAAUUACUUUAUUGAAACUUCGGUCGAUAUGAUUUAAUUCUAGUGGCGGACGGGUGAGUAACGCGUGGGUAACCUGCCUUAUACAGGGGGAUAACAGUCAGAAAUGACUGCUAAUACCGCAUAAGCGCACAGAGCUGCAUGGCUCGGUGUGAAAAACUCCGGUGGUAUAAGAUGGACCCGCGUUGGAUUAGCUAGUUGGUGAGGUAACGGCCCACCAAGGCAACGAUCCAUAGCCGGCCUGAGAGGGUGAACGGCCACAUUGGGACUGAGACACGGCCCAGACUCCUACGGGAGGCAGCAGUGGGGAAUAUUGCACAAUGGGGGAAACCCUGAUGCAGCGACGCCGCGUGAAGGAAGAAGUAUCUCGGUAUGUAAACUUCUAUCAGCAGGGAAGAAAAUGACGGUACCUGACUAAGAAGCCCCGGCUAACUACGUGCCAGCAGCCGCGGUAAUACGUAGGGGGCAAGCGUUAUCCGGAUUUACUGGGUGUAAAGGGAGCGUAGACGGAUGGACAAGUCUGAUGUGAAAGGCUGGGGCUCAACCCCGGGACUGCAUUGGAAACUGCCCGUCUUGAGUGCCGGAGAGGUAAGCGGAAUUCCUAGUGUAGCGGUGAAAUGCGUAGAUAUUAGGAGGAACACCAGUGGCGAAGGCGGCUUACUGGACGGUAACUGACGUUGAGGCUCGAAAGUGUGGGUAGCAAACAGGAUUAGAUACCCUGGUAGUCCACACCGUAAACGAUGAUUACUAGGUGUUGGAGGAUUGACCCUUUCAGUGCCGCAGUUAACACAAUAAGUAAUCCACCUGGGGAGUACGACCGCAAGGUUGAAACUCAAAGGAAUUGACGGGGGCCCGCACAAGCAGUGGAGUAUGUGGUUUAAUUCGACGCAACGCGAAGAACCUUACCAAGUCUUGACAUCCUGCGACGAUGCUAGAAAUAGUAUUUUCCUUCGGGACGCAGAGACAGGUGGUGCAUGGUUGUCGUCAGCUCGUGUCGUGAGAUGUUGGGUUAAGUCCCGCAACGAGCGCAACCCUUAUGGUCAGUUACUACGCAAGAGGACUCUGGCCAGACUGCCGUUGACAAAACGGAGGAAGGUGGGGAUGACGUCAAAUCAUCAUGCCCUUUAUGACUUGGGCUACACACGUACUACAAUGGCGUUAAACAAAGAGAAGCAAGACCGCGAGGUGGAGCAAAACUCAGAAACAACGUCCCAGUUCGGACUGCAGGCUGCAACUCGCCUGCACGAAGUCGGAAUUGCUAGUAAUCGCAGAUCAGCAUGCUGCGGUGAAUACGUUCCCGGGCCUUGUACACACCGCCCGUCACACCAUGAGAGCCGGGGGGACCCGAAGUCGGUAGUCUAACCGCAAGGAGGACGCCGCCGAAGGUAAAACUGGUGAUUGGGGUGAAGUCGUAACAAGGUA